rnacentral:rRNA from 1 species
AGUGAACGCUGGCGGCGUGCUUAACACAUGCAAGUCGAACGAGAACGGAUUAUAGCUUGCUAUAAUUGUCAGCUAAGUGGCGCACGGGUGAGUAAUGUAUAGGUAAUAUGCCUCUUACUAAGGGACAACAAAUGGAAACGUUUGCUAAUACCUUAUACUCCUUAUUAACAUAAGUUAAUAAGGGACAGAUUUAUUGGUAAGAGAUUAGCCUGUAUUGUAUCAGUUAGUUGGUGGGGUAAUGGCUUACCAAGACUAUGACACAUAACUGGUUUGAGAGGAUGAUCAGUCACACUGGAACUGAGACACGGUCCAGACUCCUACGGGAGGCAGCAGUGGGGAAUAUUGCACAAUGGACGAAAGUCUGAUGCAGCAACGCCGCGUGGAGGAUGACACAUUUCGGUGCGUAAACUCCUUUUAUAUGAGAAGAUAAUGACGGUAUUAUAUGAAUAAGCACCGGCUAACUCCGUGCCAGCCGCCGCGGUAA